rnacentral:rRNA from 1 species
AUUGAACGCUGGCGGCAUGCUUUACACAUGCAAGUGGAACGGUAGAGGGGCAACCCUUGAGAGUGGCGAACGGGUGAGUAAUGCAUCGGAACGUGCCCAGUAGUGGGGGAUAGCCCGGCGAAAGCCGGAUUAAUACCGCAUACGACCUGAGGGUGAAAGCGGGGGAUCGCAAGACCUCGCGCUAUUGGAGCGGCCGAUGUCAGAUUAGGUAGUUGGUGGGGUAAAGGCCAACCAAGCCGACGAUCUGUAGCUGGUCUGAGAGGACGACCAGCCACACUGGGACUGAGACACGGCCCAGACUCCUACGGGAGGCAGCAGUGGGGAAUUUUGGACAAUGGGCGCAAGCCUGAUCCAGCCAUGCCGCGUGCGGGAAGAAGGCCUUCGGGUUGUAAACCGCUUUUGUCAGGGAAGAAAUCUUCUGGGCUAAUACCCCGGGAGGAUGACGGUACCUGAAGAAUAAGCACCGGCUAACUACGUGCCAGCCGCCGCUGUAACAC